AUACCCACUUCAGCAACACAUACUAAAAUUGGUACCAUGCAGAGAAGAUUAGCAUGACACCCGUGCAAAGAGGACAUGCAAAUUCGUGAUGUAUUGAUUAAAAAU